rnacentral:rRNA from 1 species
CCAGACUCCUACGGGAGGCAGCAGUGAGGAAUAUUGGUCAAUGGGCGGAAGCCUGAACCAGCCAAGUCGCGUGAGGGAUUAAGGCCCUAUGGGUCGUAAACCUCUUUUGUCAGGGAGCAAUGGCGUCCACGUGUGGGCGUAUGGAGAGUACCUGAAGAAAAAGCAUCGGCUAACUCCGUGCCAGCAGCCGCGGUAAUACGGAGGAUGCGAGCGUUAUCCGGAUUUAUUGGGUCUAAAGGGUGCGCAGGCGGCGUGUCAAGUCAGCGGUCAAAUUGCGGGGCUCAACCCCGUACUGCCGUUGAAACUGGCGUUCUUGAGUGGGCGAGAAGUAUGCGGAAUGCGUGGUGUAGCGGUGAAAUGCAUAGAUAUCACGCAGAACUCCGAUUGCGAAGGCAGCAUACCGGCGCCCUACUGACGCUGAGGCACGAAAGCGUGGGUAUCGAACAGGAUUAGAUACCCUGGUAA